rnacentral:rRNA from 1 species
UACGGAGGGGGCUAGCGUUGUUCGGAAUUACUGGGCGUAAAGCGUACGUAGGCGGCUUUGUAAGUUAGAGGUGAAAGCCCGGGGCUCAACUCCGGAAUUGCCUUUAAGACUGCAUCGCUUGAAUCAUGGAGAGGUGAGUGGAAUUCCGAGUGUAGAGGUGAAAUUCGUAGAUAUUCGGAAGAACACCAGUGGCGAAGGCGACCCACUGGACAUGUAUUGACGCUGAGGUACGAAAGCGUGGGGAGCAAACAGG